ensembl:misc_RNA Metazoa_SRP Metazoan signal recognition particle RNA
CCCAGGCAUGGUGGUGCACACCUGUAGUCCCAGCUGCUUGGGAGGAAUAACUUUUGAGCCCAGGAGUGGUGGGCUAUAGUGCACUAUGCUGACUGGAUGUCCACACUGUAUCAGCAUCAAUAUGGUGACUUCCUGGAACUGUGGGACCACAGGUUGCCUAAGAUAGAGUGAAAUGCUCCAGGUUGAAAAUGGAGCAGGUCAUAACUCUCACUCAGAUCAAUAGUGGGGUAGCAUCUAUGAAUAGGCAUUGCAUUCCAGCCUGCGCAACUCUAAAAGCAAAAAAAUG